CAAAAAUGUCAUAUUUAGCAAUAUUUAUUUCAUUAUUAUGUAUUAAUUUUAUCUCCAUUAAAAAUUUAGGGUUAAUUUUAUAUAUGUUUCUAUAAACAUAGUGAAUAAUAAAUAUAUUCCUACAAAGUUCAACUUCCAUAUAUUGUCUCUACAAAAUCUUGAUAUUUUCAAAUAUGUCUCUACCGUUAGAAUCCGUUAAAAAAAGUUAGUUAACCAUAAAUUAAAUACUUAACCCUAGUUAGUUUUUGACAUUUUUACCCCUUUAUAUUACACUAGUAUGGCUUUUAGAGGGAUAUAUUUGUGAUGGCAAAAUUGAAAAUAUAAACGGUUCUCUAAUGGUAACAAACCAGAGAGACAUAUUUGAAAACAUUAGGACUUUUAUAGGAACAAUAUAUGAAAGUUGAAAUUUAUAGGGAUAUAUUUGUCAUUCACUAUGUUUGCAGGAAUAUAUAUGAAAUUAACCCUAAAAUUUAAAAUACUUUUUUAUUAUGAUUUUUUUGGGUUUAGAGUUUAUUCAAAAUAACCAAAAGAAUCUUUAAAUAAAAACAAAACUUAUCUAUUUCUCUAUACUUACUUAUAUAUUAUUUCUCAUGCAGUUUGUCACGUGGCAAUUUCUCCUUUACCCCCUUCCCACUCCUUGAUGUUUCAUCUUCUCAUCCUUAUCUCUGUACGAUGCUUUAUUUUUCCAUCUGUCCACUUUCUAAUUAAUGUAUCCAUAUGAUCCAUAAUCAUUUAAAAAAAAUAAAAUAAGAUCUCUUCAUACUCCUUUUUAUCACAAUUUUUUUUUGCUUUUUUGUGCACAAUAAGGGUUAAUUUUUUUAUUUUUUUAUUUUUUUUAUUUUUUAAAAUUGUGUAUAGAUUGAAACUAGGGUUUCGAGAGGUGAAGUACGACGGAUUUCGAGUCGAUGAGGGGAUUUGGAGUCGAUGAGGGGGAAGAAGAGGUGGGUGUGGUGGCACUGUGAGGUGAAGUACGAUGGAUUUGGGGUCGAUGAGGGGUAAGAAGAGGUGGGUGUGGGGGGAUCCGUAUGGAAUCGACGUGACCGUGACCAAAGAGAAGCUCGAGCCGACAAUAGCGGUGGAGGCGACGCAAAGAACGGGAAUCGCCUCUCCGCUCUUGGCAGCACGAUCAAAAUGCGUAUGAAAUAGUAAUUCUAUUACUGCUUCUUUCCUUAUUGUUAUUUAUAAUUUAUUUGCUGCUAUAAAUUUUAUUAUAUUUGUACAUAUCUGUUUUAUAUUAUUUAUUUGUAUUUAUUGAUGUCUUAUGGUAAGUCAAAAAGUAUUAAAAUUUUAACUUUGUCAAUCUUCUAUCUUCUAUAGUAUUAGCCCGCCGCAAUGCGCUGAUAACUUCACUAGUAAAUACAUAAUAAGAGCUGCCGAACGUUUCGGAGCUCACACAAUCCUCUCUCUCUCUCUCUCUCUCUCUCUCUCUCUCUCUCUCUAAGGGGGUGUAAUGCAAAUUUUUUUAGAGUUAAUUUUAUACGGUUUCUUGUAAAUAUAUCGAAUAACAAAUAUGUCAAAUAAAUGACAUGAUAUAUUUGCUAUCACAAAUGUGUUCCUUAAAAAAUUCUAACAAUUAGAAUUAUAUAAAAAUGUCCUCCCAAAAAUUUUCAACAGUUAUUUUCUUUCUUUCUACCAUGCAUCACAAAUAAUAUAAGAGAGGUAAAAGGUCAAUUUAUCUAAUUCACUAAUCAGAGUCAAGUAUUUACCUAUGGUUAACUAUAAUUUCUAAUGGUAGUAAAAGUAUAUUUGAAAAUAUUAUGACUUUUAUAAAAAUAAAUAUAAAAAAAUUAAACUUUAUAAAAAUAUAUUUGCUAUUCAAUAUAUUUACAGCAAAUGGUACGCAAUUAACUUUAUUAUUAUUAUUAUUAUUAUAUUUUUCCCCCUUUCUCCCUCAUGCAUAAAU
rnacentral:lncRNA from 1 species